rnacentral:lncRNA from 1 species
AACUUGUACAUUUCUCUCUUCAAGAGAAGCACUGCAUGGCCUGAUGUUCUUCCCAUUGUAUCAUCUUCUACGUCUGGUCCCCAGCGCACAUCAGUGCAGCUCACUGUGCCUUCAGUUCCCAAGGAGAAGAAUAACAUAUCACUCUUGCAAAAGGCUGGCGAUCAUCCAUUCCUCCCAGCUUUUCUCUGCCUCAGGAGAAAGAAGUAUUGCUAAAUCGCGUGCUCCCUGACAAUCAGUAUUCAAGUAUUGACGAAGUGGCAACAGGUCAUUACAAAAUACCUUUCCUUUCUUGUUUGAGAAAUCAACUGGGUAAGUAUACUCUAAUGAGGUGAUAAGGCUGGCUACUGUAGAUUGUAUUGAUGUGACCCUCAGGUGACCUCAUCCGUUUACAGCAAAAGCAAACAGCAACAUUAGAAAUACCAAAGUCCCAAAUUUAUCUCGUUUAAGAACCUUUUCAGCAUUUUAGAAACACUGUAUGGGCAUCUCUAAAGUGAGAAGAUCUCUGAAGCUAGAAGAGCAGAGUGAUUGUCUAAGUUAAGUCUAAGUGCAGUUGCUACUGUUAAUUAUUAUUUACUGCUCCUGGAGGGGAGCAAAGUGCUCUGGAGUCCUGUAAAUUAGCCAAGGUCCAUACCCAAAGCACACAUAUGGUUUGUCUUAGCCUGGUAAUAAUGGUUCCAGAGGAAAUUUUGGAAACACUACCCAUGGGAAAAAGCAACUCUCACAUAAAUGACAGUCUUAGAGCAAAUGUGUCAUAACACAUGCGAAGACACAUACUAAUUUAAGUCUAUCCCAUCAUGUGAAACAAGUUAACAAGAAGGAAAAUUGAACGUAGUUCAUUCCAUACUGAAAAUAUCUGGAAUAUGAGCAUUUUUGAGAGAGGGAUUAAAAAAAAAAUUAGCAUACUAGAUGGGAAGUUCAGGUUAAAGAAUUGAACUCUGAAGAUGGUAAUUAAGAUUUAUAGCUCAGCUUCUCAUUCUACAUUUGACAUUUACUAUACAUUUGAUCCUGCUUCAUAAAAUGAGGUUAAACCUUACUUAAUUGUUUUAAAGGCUUUGUUUAUUACAUGUUAAGGGCAACAAAGCUGGUGAGAGGUCUGGAGAGUAAGUCUUAUGAGGAGAGGCUGGGGGAGCUGGGGUUGUUCAGCUUGGAGAGAAAGGAGACUGAGGGGGGACCUUAUCGCUCUCUACAGUUAACUGCAAAGAGGGUGUAGAGAGGUGGGGGUCGGUCUC